rnacentral:rRNA from 1 species
GCGGGGCUCAAGCACACCACCGAAGACGCGGCAGCGGCCUUUGCGGCCGUUGGGUAGGAGAGCGUCCCGCGUGGGGCGAAGCGGCCGGGGAACCGUGCCGUGGACCGCGCGGGAGUGAGAAUGCAGACAUGAGUAGCGAGAGACGGGUGAGGAUCCCGUCCGCUGGAUGACCAAGGGUUCCGGGGCCACGUUCGUCGUCCCCGGGUGAGUCGGGUCCUAAGGCGAGGCCGACAGGCGUAGUCGAAUGGAUGAACGGGUGGAUAUUCCCGUACCGGCGGCGUACCGUAAGAGCCGAACGGAUGAGUACUAACCUCCGGUCGCGUGGCGUCGUUCCCUUCGGGGUUCGGGGUCCGCGGUCGUUGGGAGCGUAGUCCCGGUAGGCUAGCGCACAGGGGUGACACGGAAUGGGAGCCGGCCGCGGAGGUGGUUUUCCGUGGUCAAGCACGCAGCCCGUCCCAUAGGCAAAUCCGUGGGACGCAUAGGGUGAGGUGUGAUGAUGGGCGUCCUUUGGACGCGAUAUCCGGUGGUCCAGGCCGUCGAGAAAAGCCUCGGCGCGAGGGGCGUCGCCGCCCGUACCCCAAACCGACACUGGUGGUCAGGUAGAGAAUACCAAGGCGAUCGAGCGAAUCCUGGUCAAGGAACUCGGCAAAUCACUCCCGUGCCUUCGGUAUAAGGGAGACCCCCUGGCGUGAAGAGGCUUGCCCUCGGAGCGUUGGGGGGUGGCACAGACCAGGGGGUAGCGACUGUUUACCAAAAACACAGGUGCAUGCGAAGGCGCAAGCCGCUGUAUAUGCACUGACGCCUGCCCGGUGCCGGAAGGUUAAGAGGAUCCGUCAGCCCUCGGGCGAAGCGGUGAAUUCAAGCCCCGGUAAACGGCGGUGGUAACUAUAACCAUCCUAAGGUAGCGAAAUUCCUUGUCGGGUAAGUUCCGACCUGCACGAAUGGCGUAACGACUUCCCCACUGUCUCGACCAGGAGCUCGGCGAAAUUGCAGUACGAGUAAAGAUGCUCGUUAAGCGCAGAAGGACGAAAAGACCCCGGGACCUUUACUAUACCUUGGUAUUGGCGUUAGGCGCGGAUUGUGUAGCAUAGGCGGGAGGCUUCGAAGCAUGGGCGCCAGCCCGUGUGGAGCCGCAAGGUGAAAUACCGCUCUGUUCUCGUUUGACGUCUAACCUCGAACAGUCAUCCUGUUCAGGGACAGUGCCUGGCGGGUAGUUUAACUGGGGCGGUUGCCUCCCAAAGAGUAACGGAGGCGCUCAAAGGUCCGCUCAGCCCGGUUGGCAAUCGGGUUUCGAGUGUAAUCGCACAAGCGGGCUUGACUGCGAGAACGACGGUUCGGGCAGGGACGAAAGUCGGAGAUAGUGAUCCGGUGCCGGCGCACGGGCGCGGCAUCGCUCAACGGAUAAAAGGUACCCCGGGGAUAACAG